UCAACUAUAUGACAGUUUAUGAGUGGUCUCAAUUGGCCAAGUUAAACCAUAUUUAUGAUAAGUCGAUCACUCCAUACUUUUCAUGAUUAUUUGUUUCACCUUUGAAGAGAUUGUGCUAUACGGUCGUAUGAUUCAACUGAGUAAAAAUACCAGCACUGUGAUCAUCAGAGCAAGUCCAUCAGGUGACAUUCUUUUUCACCUCUGUCUCCUUUCACUUUGAAGGUUCCCAUGUUUGAGGAAGCAUUUGGUGUUGCUGUGCAAAGUGUUGCUGCAGUGGAGGUUCAAGGUUACUGUUUAUUGAUAUGGAUCCCAUCAUACUUUGUUCAUUGUUUGUUCAGGAGUUUGCCCUAACUGGGAAAUGCUGUUAUAAAAGGGAAGACAACUUGACCUGUACGUUGAUGGACAUAUAUCGAACAUAUAUCGUUUGCGUUCCACAAUGAUGAUGACAGCUCGACUCCCGGGAGAGGCCGAGAGAGAGGCAGGAAUUGUGACAGACGGUGGUUCGCCGAGAUCGCCGUGAUCCAACUACGAACUUGUGAAUGGUAGCAUCUUUAAAUAUAUGCUAUUGGAGCUGGAACUACCGAGGACGGGAAAAAAGCACAUCUAAAUGCCGCCGAGGGCCUCCGUGAUGUCGCUAUUUGUUCACGAGGCUCCGGAGCUCUGCGGUCUGAUAUCACAUUCUCGUAUGCUAUUUUUGCAAUACUUUUAUAAAUGUGA